CGGCAGCACGGGGGCAACCCUGGUGGCGAGUGGCGAACGGGUGAGUAAUACAUCGGAACGUGUCCUGUAGUGGGGGAUAGCCCGGCGAAAGCCGGAUUAAUACCGCAUACGCUCUACGGAGGAAAGGGGGGGAUCUUAGGACCUCUCGCUACAGGGGCGGCCGAUGGCAGAUUAGCUAGUUGGUGGGGUAAAGGCCUACCAAGGCGACGAUCUGUAGCUGGUCUGAGAGGACGACCAGCCACACUGGGACUGAGACACGGCCCAGACUCCUACGGGAGGCAGCAGUGGGGAAUUUUGGACAAUGGGCGCAAGCCUGAUCCAGCAAUGCCGCGUGUGUGAAGAAGGCCUUCGGGUUGUAAAGCACUUUUGUCCGGAAAGAAAACUUCUGCCCUAAUACGGCGGGAGGAUGACGGUACCGGAAGAAUAAGCACCGGCUAACUACGUGCCAGCAGCCGCGGUAAUACGUAGGGUGCAAGCGUUAAUCGGAAUUACUGGGCGUAAAGCGUGCGCUGGCGGUUCGCUAAGACAGAUGUGAAAUCCCCGGGCUUAACCUG
rnacentral:rRNA from 1 species